rnacentral:rRNA from 1 species
GAUGAACGCUGGCGGCGUGCCUAAUACAUGCAAGUCGAGCGAACGGACGAGAAGCUUGCUUCUCUGAUGUUAGCGGCGGACGGGUGAGUAACACGUGGAUAACCUACCUAUAAGACUGGGAUAACUUCGGGAAACCGGAGCUAAUACCGGAUAAUAUUUUGAACCGCAUGGUUCAAAAGUGAAAGACGGUCUUGCUGUCACUUAUAGAUGGAUCCGCGCUGCAUUUGCUAGUUGGUAAGGUAACGGCUUACCAAGGCAACGAUGCAUAGCCGACCUGAGAGGGUGAUCGGCCACACUGGAACUGAGACACGGUCCAGACUCCUACGGGAGGCAGCAGUAGGGAAUCUUCCGCAAUGGGCGAAAGCCUGACGGAGCAACGCCGCGUGAGUGAUGAAGGUCUUCGGACCGUAAAACUCUGUUAUUAGGGAAGAACAUAUGUGUAAGUAACUGUGCACAUCUUGACGGUACCUAAUCAGAAAGCCACGGCUAACUACGUG